GUUUUUAUGGUGUAAAUAACACAUAACCUUUUCGAAGUUAAAUUAACUAUAUAAAUUUAAAAACA
rnacentral:tRNA from 1 species